rnacentral:misc_RNA from 1 species
GUAGGUGAACCUGCGGAAGGAUCAUUACACUCAGUAGUUUACUACUGUUAAAGAGGCUGUUAGUCUGUAUAGCUUACCCGCUGAUGAGCAGCUUGUCUCUUUUCUCCACCCUUGUCUUUUGCGUACCCAUGUUUCCUCGGUAGGCUUGCCUGCCGGUUGGACAACUCUAUAACCUUUUUAAUAUUUAAUCAGCGUCUGAAAAACUUAAUAAUUACAACUUUCAACAACGGAUCUCUUGGUUCUGGCAUCG